GAUGAACGCUGGCGGCGUGCCUAAUACAUGCAAGUCGAGCGAACAGACGAGGAGCUUGCUCCUCUGACGUUAGCGGCGGACGGGUGAGUAACACGUGGAUAACCUACCUAUAAGACUGGGAUAACUUCGGGAAACCGGAGCUAAUACCGGAUAAUAUAUUGAACCGCAUGGUUCAAUAGUGAAAGACGGUUUUGCUGUCACUUAUAGAUGGAUCCGCGCCGCAUUAGCUAGUUGGUAAGGUAACGGCUUACCAAGGCAACGAUGCGUAGCCGACCUGAGAGGGUGAUCGGCGACACUGGAACUGAGACACGGUCCAGACUCUUACGGGAGGCAGCAGUAGGGAAUCUUCCGCAAUGGGCGAAAGCCUGACGGAGCAACGCCGCGUGAGUGAUGAAGGUCUUCGGAUCGUAAAACUCUGUUAUUAGGGAAGAACAAAUGUGUAAGUAACUAUGCACGUCUUGACGGUACCUAAUCAGAAAGCCACGGCUAACUACGUG
rnacentral:rRNA from 1 species